rnacentral:rRNA from 1 species
UACGUAGGGUGCGAGCGUUGUCCGGAAUUACUGGGCGUAAAGAGCUCGUAGGUGGUUUGUCGCGUCGUCUGUGAAAUUCCGGGGCUUAACUCCGGGCGUGCAGGCGAUACGGGCAAUACUUGAGUGCUGUAGGGGAGACUGGAAUUCCUGGUGUAGCGGUGAAAUGCGCAGAUAUCAGGAGGAACGCCAAUGGCGAAGGCAGGUCUCUGGGCAGUAACUGACGCUGAGGAGCGAAAGCAUGGGUAGCGAACAGGAUUAGA